rfam:Equus caballus chromosome X, whole genome shotgun sequence.
GGAUGUGAGGGCUAUCUGGCUGUGAGAUCUGUUACCCCAUUGAUCGCCAGGGUUGAUUUAGCUGAUCUGGCUGGCUAUGUGGGUGUCCCAUUCCUCCCUCACUGCUCCAUGUGUGUCCUUCCCAAAGAUGCACGCUCGGUUGGAGAGGAUGACCUUCUUCGAUAGAGGAGGACCAUUCUUCGGUCAAGGGUAUAUGAGUGGCUGUGCUCCCAUGACAGAACCUCCAAACAAGCUCUCAAGGUCCAUUUGUAGGAGAAUGUAAAGUGGUCAAGCCUCCAAGACUCCAGAUACAUCCAAAUGAGGUGCUGCAUGUGGCAGUCUGCCUUUCUUU